UAAAGUGGCGUACGGGUGAGUAACACGUGGAUCAUCUACCCUCUUGUGGGGAAUACCGCUGGGAAACCGGCGACAAUACCGCAUAAGCUCGAGAGAGGAAAGCCGAAAGGCGCAGGAGGAGGAGUCCGCGGUCGAUUAGUUAGUUGGCAGGGUAAAGGCCUACCAAGACUGUGAUCGAUAGCCGGCCUGAGAGGGCACACGGCCACACUGGCACUGAAACACGGGCCAG
rnacentral:rRNA from 1 species